rnacentral:piRNA from 1 species
UAGUCAUAGGGGUAUAUCUAA